UUAAAAGAUACCCAAGUGGAUGUCAGCUCAACAAUAUGUCCUUAUACAUUUACAAAAGCUACUUUCUGAUUAGGGCUUCCUUCCUUUCUGUAUACUAUUUCCCACACAAAAACUGGUAUGUUAUAUAAAAGUAAUUAGAAACCUGCUCACAGCUUCCUGACUACAUUCACAAGAGUUUAUAUUCUACUGGCUUCAACAAUAUAACUACUAACACAGAAAUUGCUCAUUUAAGAAGAUAAAAGUUCAAAAUAACUUUAUUGUUCAUUCCAAAAACUACUUGAAAGACCCACCAACUCUUCAAUAAAAAGUUCCAAAUGACAUUUUUCAACUCCAAGACCCUCUGAACUGUCUUAAAAUUCUUGCCUUUUGGUGUCCACUAAACCUAAACCAUUAUAUCACAAUUCUUACUCAAUCCUAAUCACACCCUGCCACCUCAAUGAAAGACCUGCUCUACACCAGACUUCAACAUCUAAAUAAAUAGCCCUCCUGCUCUGCCACCUCUGAGACUCUAAGAAAGCUCUGUCCAGAGAGUGCUUUCCUGGCAGUGUUAUGCAAUAAAAUCAGCUUUGCUUAUCAAGUUGUUUGGCUGAUAUUUGGGAAGUACAGUAUAUGAAGAUCAUAGUCACACCGCUGUACAUCAUGUCACAGAGGACUGAGCUGAGAUCCUAAGGCCAAUAUCUAUAGAUAUUACUGGACCAUACACUGACUGAAUGACAAUAAGUAUAUUCAGAGAAAUCAGUUACCAGUACAGUGAUUUGAAUGUGCAUUUCUCCAAGCAAAAAAAGAAACAGGUGAAUGUAUUCAUCCUACAGAUGUGAGCAAAGUCAUUGCCAGUAUGACAGAAAACCCAGAGGCAGAGAAAGAAACAGUUAAUCAAAGCAUGUAUUAAAAUAGGUAUUAAAAUCCUAUAAUAUCUAUUUCUAUCAUGGCCAUCUUUCUGAGACAUUCUCCACUAAGGGUAACCUGGGGCUGUCACCAGUCUGUGGAUGCAUAAGAAAGACUGGGUUGGAGGGAAAGAAACAAAAAAGAAAAAACACUUUUAAAAUUUUUUUUCAAAAACCCACUCUUCCAGCCCCCUUUCUCGUCCUCAGGACACCUUGCAGUUCAGGCUUUCAGCCUCAGUGGCAUAAAAAGUUCAGUAUGUACAGCACACCUUCAGCCAGAGCACAUGCGCGGGGCGUGUGCCCAUUGUUGCGCAUGCGCCUUGCUGUGCACUUUCCGUUGGCAGAGCUGGGCCAGUGUUGGACGUGUUCAUCUCUUCUGUUCUUUCUGACUAGUGAAACUCAGCAGUGUGAAAUAUGAGUGGGCAUGUGAGAUCGAGAUCCAUACCUGAAGGAAGACAAGAUGAUCAAGAAUCUUACCAGCCAUAUAGCAAUGCCCAGCAGCCCAGUGAUGAGCAACCUCAACAGGAGGAACCACCAUCUAAGAGUCAGGACAUUACACCUGAUCAAGAGAAAGAGGAUGGAGGAGCACCUGUGGUUCAAGGGUCUGACCUGGAAACUGAUCUCCAGAAACCAGCUCCAACAAAGACUGAGGGUAGGGGCAGAGAUAAUCCUGCUGUCAGGGAGGAGAUUCCAUUAUGUUCUGAGCCCAUUAGAGUGCUGGAAGGAGGUGAAGGGGAGCCACAGGUUUAAACAAAAAACAAGCUGAAGGCAUGCAAACUGUUCUUAAGCUGGAUAUUUGACUAUUAAAAUUCUCUCAAUAAAGUUUCACAACUUUCUCCAAA